GGAGGCUGUUGCAAUAACCCAGACAGGAGAUGAUGAGGGCUUGACCUUGGGCUGUGGUAGCGGGACAGGGAGAGGGACGGGUUGAGAAACAUUUAGGAGGUCAAGUUGUUGGGACCCAGAGACUGAUGGGAUGUGUGUGGGAUGAGAGGGAGGAGUCAAGGUGGCCUUGUCCUGGGGCUGAGCAGUGGUGCAACCCAGCCCUGAGGAAUUCCGGGAGUGGAGCCGACUUGGAAACUCAAGGCCAAUCUCAGGUUGAGACAUGGUCCACCAGAUGACCGGCUGGCCUCCUAAUUGGGCUUCCUGCAUUCCUGCCUGUGCUCGGAGCUCCCUUCUCCACUUGCCUGCUGGAGGAGGUUUACAAACAAAAUCAGAUCAUGGCACUCCCCUGGGGCCCUGCAUCCUGUGGCCAGCAGGUCUUGGAAACGCCCCUGUACCCCAGAAACUUCCUGAUCAGUCCCUGGUCAGUGUAUAUCAUGCUUCCUGUGACAUGACAUCAACUUUUCAGUGACUUCCACUGGUUUUGGCCCAGCUCGAAGAGCCUGACACCUCUGCAGGGAAUUCUACCAGGUAUUCAAAGAGGAGCUCAGGAGGGGGAAUUGCACUGAAGAUUUGUCCCAUCGUGAAGCAAGAGCACUGGAACUUACACUCCACCAUCAGGCCCUGUCACAGGAGAACAAAGAAGGAAGGCAGAGGAGAUCAUGCUCCGGCCAGCAGGGAAUCUCCAUUUUUUUCAGCCUCAUACCUUGGAAAGUACAAAGGAGUGAGAGCUGGGACUACCAGCCAGAGGGUUCAUGGAGGUAGUGGGAGGGGAAGAUGGGUUCUGCAUGGAGCCACUCCAGGGACUUUUCUUCUGUCUCACAGCCUGACAAUCACCUCUAGCUGUUCUCAGUCCCAUUCUCAUCAAUGACCUCGUCUCCUGAUUUUGUACAAUAUCUAGGUGACCUUCUCUUCUUUCCAUCUUCAAACGCUUGAUCAUUGAUGCUCCCUUUUCUCUUCUCUCUCCUCCUGGGAAAAGAGAAGGACCAACAUCCCCCUUUCCCUUCCUCCUGUGCUGUCCCGACCCCUCUGAGACCUGGCUCUAGCAGUAAGUCCCUCUCUCUUCUGCAGCACCAGCCUCUGCCCAUCCCUGCCCUCUGCACACAAAGCUCUCACAUUGUCUGCACUUUAAGAACUUUUGUGGCAAACCCUGGCAAAUCCUGCCACUUGUUUCCACUCUUCUCAAAUGGCUUUGAGGUCAUCAUUGACCUAUCCCAUUUGACCCUGUCCUGUAUCUGAUGUUGUACCCUUUCUCCUUGAUCCCACUCUGGCAACUCUCCCACUCCCCUUUCUUGGAUCAACUGUCUUGCUCCUCAGUCUUGAUCAAUGCCUCCUUCUCUCUCUUUAGCCUUGGCCCUUUUUGGCCAGGGAAAUAAAUGUGAAAUACAUAAAGCUUCAUUUUAUCUUAUGAUUAUAGCUAUGUUGAUGUUACCCAAGACCUAAAAGUCACACUCUCUAAUUACACUUCCCUCCUGUGUUCUGGGUCCUCUUGGACCAGUCCUUACUCUGGCUCCCCUCCUGGAUGUCUCCCAGACUUCUAAUUAGAAUUACUGUUUCCUAUAUCAAGCUAAUUAUCUUUCCCACCAACCUCCUCCAUCCUUGGGUGAAAGCAUCACUUGGUUGCAAAAGUCAGAAAUCUGGGUUUCAUUCUUGCGGUAGGUAGAAUAAUGCCCCCAGGCCCCAGGUUUUGACAUCCGAAUCCCUGGGACUUUGCAGAUGUGAUUCAGUUUAGGAUUUUGAGAUGGGGAGAUUAUCUGGGAGAGCCUGAUGUCAUCAUAAGGUUCUUAUAAGAGGGAGGCAGGAGGGUUAGAGUGAGUAGUAAGAGAUGCAACAGUGGAAGCAAGAGGUUGGGGUGAUGUGGCCACAAGCCCAGGAGUGCUGACAGACAUCAGAAGCUGGAAGGGACAAGGAAUGGUUUCUCCUCUGGAGCCUCCAGAAAGAACCAGCCCUGCUGACACCUUGAUUUUAGCCUUGGAAGACUCAUUUUGGACUUCUGACCUUGAACGUUGUAAGAGAAUAAAUUUACAUAUUUUAAACUGGUA
rnacentral:lncRNA from 10 species